GUGUGUCAGAUUGGUUCCUUUCAGAAAAAAAAUUUGUUUGGCUGGAAACACAUAGAGCGUGUGCGCACACGUUGUAUACAUGACGACUAGCCGCUCAGCGAUAGAUAUAAACGAAUUAACCUUUUCGUAUAUCUUGACACAUUAUAACCACAAUCGGGGAGCGCUUAUUGGUCCUUUACGUGCAGUAUUGUGAUGUCCCAUAAACAGCGUUUCUGGUUUUAUGGUUUCCACAGUCAUCACCAAUAAAGGCAGAAUCCUACUCUUGCACACGAUGUAACGUUACGCCAUUCACGCAAUAUCACAAGUCUAGGAUUGAACGACAGAAUGUACUACUGAUGCGCACUGGGAUAUUACAACACGUAAUGUAUAUUAUAUAUCUGCUGCAGAAUUAUUGGGAAAGCUCAUUCGCAAUCAUCUAUUUAUGCUGGUCAAUCAAUGAAAAACACUUCCGUUGUCAAAGGAAAAGAAAAUUUUAAUAAUGACACUUGGCAAAGGAUCUGCGCGGAUGAAACUCACUGCCCAAAAAACUAUGACAGCGUCUAUGAUGCUGAACAACGUUAGCGAAAUUGCAGCAGUAGGCUGGUAAGAAACACAAAAGCAUUCAUCAGCUUAUUUUGGCCGACAACCAUACAGACACGGACCGAAUGAGUACAUAUAAUAGGCAUUAAAAUUCACCGCAUAUCGCAUUGCAUAAUUAGCGCUCCCUUUUCUCUUGCGAAUUGUACAACCUAAUUAGCCUAAAAACAGAAUACGUUUGCUUUCAAACAACGUGAUUACAUCAUUCUUUCUCCAGAGCCGCUGUUUCUCUCUGCAUCAAGGCGUACCAGCGUAUUGGAACUUCUGGUUGUAAUGGCAGGACGCAUCACAGCAUUUCUUCUCAUGUGUGCCGUGUUCGCCUACGGCAUCAUGGCCAUUGCAGCCAAUCAGGAUUCUACAGCACGAGGAAGUUCGGUGCCGGCGAGUGCUCCCAAUGAAGAUGCAAGAAUCGGAACAGCUGCGAUCCAAAGCUUGGCGGGUGGAGGCCUCGGCUGAAACUCACGUGAUUGGCUGCACCGAGAGACCCGCCCGAGAGAAACGACUUUUGUCGCGGGCUCGGUUUAUUUCUUAGCUAGUGCAUUUUCACCGCUCAAAUGUAAUAAAUGUCGGUACAUUA